ACCGAGUUCUGCUUCUCUGGGAUCGGUUUGGGAAAAUCACGUGAAAUUCUAAAAAAGCUUCUCUCCGUGUUUUCUAGUUGUUUUUUCAGCCUUGGUGUAAGUUUCAUGUAGAAAAGGGCAUAGAAUUAUUAGAACAGACAAACUAGACUUUCUCGGGAGAGAUGGAAGAAAAGUCUGCUGAUUGCAGUUCUGCUUUUCUUGUCUUCCCUUUGACUGUCAUUUUCUCUCCCCUGCUGUUCAAAUAGGCAGCAAUUAAUUGCUCUGCUGAAGAGUUUGCUGUACUAAGUGUCUGUCAAAUUGAUGCCUUCAACUCAAGAUAGCACCUGCUCCUUAGUUACAAAAAGUUCCUCACAGGAAAUUUUCAGGCGUGCCCAUAAAUCUCCUCGCUGUUUGUUUGGGAGAACAGGGUUUUCUCGUCUGUAACAGAAUAGUUGUGGCAUUUGCUAUUGAAUGCUGGUGGCAGUCUAGUCAGAAGAGGACCCCGUGCUUCACUAAUUUUCCCUUUUUGUUGUUGGGGGUGACUUCUUCCCAGGGAUGUUAUUCUUGACCCCCCCGGGGCAAACGGAGGUGUCAGCGUCAGGAGCCAUCCUAACUGAGGCCCUGGUAGGCUGCCUCUUUUCCUUCGGUCGCUGUGGACACUGUGCCGGACGCCUCUGGCAGGACUAACCCUGGGGCUUUUAUGUCCAGCGUGCUGUGCUGUGUGCCUGCAGCAUCCUGUACAAGACAAAGCUACCUUUCUUUCCUCGUGGGAAUGGACCGGCCGGGCUUUGGCAAUCUGGCCCCUCGAAAGACUAAAGUGACCUCUUCCAGCAGGGGAAGACUGAAGCAAGGGGUGCCAGGAAGAACUGGAGUCUCUGGAGAAUGAAAGCUGGAAGUGUGCCCCCGAAAAUCCCCAGCCCCGGGUGGUCAGUGGUCUGACUUGCACGGACCGGUGGCCUUGGCCAGGAGCGGUCCUGUGGGAAGCGCCUUUGCCCAGGCUGUAAUUUUAAUUUCCCUUGGAUGCUUGGCAAAGCCCCUCUGGGGGAGCCCCGGUGCCUGGCAGGAGCGGAGCGGGCUUCCAGGGAGGCAUUCACCCGGUCAGCGUCAGGAACCAUCCUAACUGAGGCCUCAGCUCCCUCUUUCCCUUCGGUCGCCGUGGGUGUGCCGGACGCCUCUGGCAGGACUAACCCCAGGGCUUUUAUGUCCAACGUGCUGUAUGCCUGC